CCAGCCCGCUCAGAAACUCAAUGAAUUGACGGGGGCCGCACAAGCGGAGGAGCAUGUGGUUUAAUUCGAUGAUACGCGAGGAACCUUACCUGGGCUCGAACGUAAGAUGACUGUAGGUGAAAGCUUACAUCUCUUCGGAGCAUUUUACGAGGUGCUGCAUGGUUGUCGUCAGCUCGUGCCGUGAGGUGUCGGGUUAAGUCCCAUAACGAGCGCAACCCCUACCUUUAGUUGCCAUCAGGUUAAGCUGGGGACUCUAAAGGAACUGCCUACGCAAGUAGUGAGGAAGGCGGGGAUGACGUCAAAUCAGCACGGCCCUUACGUCCAGGGCUACACACGUGCUACAAUGGCCGAUACAGAGGGCAGCUACCUGGUGACAGGAUGCAAAUCUCCAAAGUCGGUCUCAGUUCGGAUCGGAGUCUGCAACCCGACUCCGUGAAGUUGGAUUCGCUAGUAAUCGCGCAUCAGCCAUGGCGCGGUGAAUACGUUCCCGGGCCUU
rnacentral:rRNA from 1 species